rnacentral:rRNA from 1 species
AAGUUUGACAUCCCGAAACUAGACGAGCUACCUUAAAACAGCUAUAGAGCUAACUCAUCCCUGUUGCAAAAUGGUGAGAAGAUUUUAAAGUAGAGGUGAUAUGCCUACCGAGCCUAGAGAUAGCUGGUUAUUCAAAAAAUGGAUUUAAGUCCACCUUUAAGUUUCUUCAGUUUACUAAACAAUUACUAAACUUAAAAGCCAUUCAAAUAAGGUACAGCCUGUUUGAACAAGGAAACAACCUACAAUAUAGGGUAACUACCACUAAUGUGGCCAAGUAGGCCUAAAAGCAGCCACCUCCAAAAAGCGUCUAAGCUUCCCCACUAACUAUACUUAAUCCCACUAUUAACCCACAACCCCUACUCCCCACUGAAUGACCCC